rnacentral:rRNA from 1 species
CCCUUAGAUGUUCUGGGCCGCACGCGCGCUACACUGGCUACUUCAACGAGUUGUUUCCUUGAUCGAAAGGUCUGGGUAAUCUUUGAAAGGUAGUCGUGAUGGGGAUAGAUCCUUGCAAUUUUUGAUCUUCAACGAGGAAUUCCUAGUAAACGCAAGUCAUCAGCUUGCAUUGAUUACGUCCCUGCCCUUUGUACACACCGCCCGUCGCACCUACCGAUUGAAUGGUCCGGUGAAUCUUUAGGACUGUGGCUGAGGCCUUGCCUUGUGCGGGUCUGGCCGUGGGAAUUUAGUUAAACCUUACCAUUUAGAGGAAGGUGAAGUCGUAACA